rnacentral:lncRNA from 1 species
CCUAGAAUCUGAUGGUUCCGGGGCAGACACGAUUUACGAGAUGCGGCGCGGCUCAAUCGGUCGUGUAAGUAUUACCUGGCGGAGGAGAGGGGAGGAGACGGCAUCGGCGUCGGCGUGGGCGGAUCGGGAGGGGUCGUCGGUGGCGGGCGGGGAGGAGGGGUCGGGGGAGCCGGCGAGGCCGAGGAGGAGGAGGGCGCAGGCGAGGGCGAGGAGGAGCGAGAGCAGGAGGCGGGCCCAGAGC